rnacentral:misc_RNA from 1 species
GAAAUGCGAUAAGUAAUGUGAAUUGCAGAAUUCAGUGAAUCAUCGAAUCUUUGAACGCACAUUGCACCCGGUGGUAUUCUGCCGGGUAUGCCUGUUCGAGCGUCAUUUCUUCCCUCAGGCCCGCGGCUGCUUAGGCGGUCUCGGGUGCUGGUGUUGGGGAUGUACGGAGGCUGCCUUCCAGCGCCGUAGCCCCUAAUUUCAUCGGCGCACACGCGUACGUCUGCCCUCUGCGUAGUGGUUUUACUUCUCUCGCAUCGGGCCGUGCCGCCGUGCUGCCGUCAACCGACAGCAGUCGACCACGAAACUUAGUUUUGACCUCGAAUCAGGUAGGGUUACCCGCUGAACUUAA